UAAAAGGUUGGUGGGAUAAUUUUUUAACUCAAGAACAAAAGAUUACAAUUAUGAAUACUACUAGUGUUCAUAAGAUUGAAGGGCAAUUAGCCUACCAAAUUGUUGAUUCUGCUAGUACUUCUCAGAUACAACAAAAUGCUGUUUAUACUUUACUUACUACCAUGGUAGAACAUUUUUGUGGUAGAUGGACUGAUGAGGCAGAGACUAUUAGAA
rnacentral:lncRNA from 1 species